rnacentral:rRNA from 1 species
CCUACGGGAUGCAGCAGUAGGGAAUAUUGCUCAAUGGGGGAAACCCUGAAGCAGCAACGCCGCGUGGAGGAUGAAGGUUUUCGGAUUGUAAACUCCUUUUGUUAGAGAAGAUAAUGACGGUAUCUAACGAAUAAGCACCGGCUAACUCCGUGCCAGCAGCCGCGGUAAUACGGAGGGUGCAACCGUUACUCGGAAUCACUGGGCGUAAAGGGCGCGUAGGCGGGAUAGCAAGUCAGAUGUGAAAUACUAUGGCUUAACCAUAGAACUGCAUUUGAAACUGUUAUUCUCGAGUUGGGGAGAGGUAGGUGGAAUUCUUGGUGUAGGGGUAAAAUCCGUAGAGAUCAAGAGGAAUACUCAUUGCGAAGGCGACCUGCUAGAACAUAACUGACGCUGAUGCGCGAAAGCGUGGGGAGCAAACAGGAUUAGAUACCCGGGUAGUC